GAUGAACGCUGGCGGCGUGCCUAAUACAUGCAAGUCGAGCGAACGGACGUGACGCUUUUUCCUCUGUUGUUACCGUCGGACGGGUGAGUACCACUUGGAUAACCUCCCUUUAAGACCGUGCUCCCUUCUCUAAACUGUCGCUAAUACCCGAUAAUUUUUACCACCUCAUGGUUCAAAUGUCAAAGACGGCUUUUCUAUCACUUCUUGAUCUAUCCGCGCUGCAUUAGCUAGCUGGUAAGGUAACGGCUUAACAAGGCAACGCUGCAUAGCCGACCUGAGAGGGUGAUCGGCCAAAAUGGAACUGAGAAACGGUCCAAACUCCUACGGGAGGCAGCAGUAGGGAAUCUUCCGCAAUGGGCGAAAGCCUGACGGAGCAACGCCGCGUGAGUGAAGAAGGUGUUCGGAUCGUAAAACUCUGUUAUUAGGGAAGAACGUAUGUGGAAGUAACUGUGCACAUCUUGACGGUAACUAAUCAGAAAGCCACGGCUAACUACGUG
rnacentral:rRNA from 1 species